ACCGUAACCUUGAGCUUGAAUAGUGAAUGAAAAGUUGCGCAUGCGUUUUCAACCGCAACGCGUGAACCACGUGUUUGUCGUGCUCUAGUCUAGUGUGGUCUAGUGCGUGCUAGCGAUCGCAGGUGACGGAAAUUCAUUAUUUUUUGUGGUUUAUUUGCAUGGAAACACUGCAGAAUGGAUCCUGGGGUCUCAAAUGACGUUGAAAAGAAAUCAUGGACCAAUGCUGAGCGCUUGGAACUGGCAGCGAAGUUAGAUGCCGAACUUGAUGACUAUAUUAACAAUUUGGAACAGAAACAAUACACCGAAGGAUGGCCAGAAGAUCGCUGGGAAGCUGAAAUGGAUAAGCAUCCCUUCUUUAUGAAGAAAGCUCCAGAAGUUGGUGAUGAAUUAUCUCCACUAAUGGAAGGACUACAACAGCUCAAAUAUGAUGAGAAUGAAAAUACCCCAGAAGAAUUAGCAAAUAACUACAAAGAAGACGGUAAUUUUAAUUACAAGUACAAGAAGUAUCGGUUAGCCAUCAUUGGCUACACUGAGGGCAUCAGGACUAAGUGUAAAGACAUCGAACUAAUUGCUCAACUUUAUAAUAACCGAGCUGCCUCGCAAUACAUGCUUCAUAACUACAGGUCAAGUUUAAAUGAUUGCAAGUUGGCUUUGAAUCUGAAACCAGAAUAUCCAAAGGCGUUGAACAGGGCUGCAAAUUGUUGUUUACACAUCAACGACUAUGAUCAGUGUAUAUUUUAUUGCGAUAAAUUCCUUGAAAAGUCUCCAUCGGACAAAGCCAUAUUAAAUCUCAGAACCGAGGCGGUAGUCAGUAAGAAAAAAUUGGAGAGAGACAGAAGAAAAAAAGAGGUCUCAAUUAAGAAAAUGGAACGGGAAGAGAAAAGCCUGCUCGAACUAAUUCAAAGCAGAAAAAUUAAUGUUGAAAUCAACGCUGGCAAAAGGCAUCUGCAACUGGCUGACCUAGAACCGUGUAUACACCAUUUAGCUCAAAACAAAGUACAUCUAGGGGAAGAUGGCCGAUUGAUCUGGCCUGUAGUUAUUUUAUAUCCAGAAACACAGCAGACCGAUUUCAUUCAAGAAUCCCAUGAAGAUUUGAUAUUGAUGGAUCUACUAGAAGAAUUAUUCGCGGAACCUCCAGGCUGGGAUAAGGAACGGCGUUAUCAUCCGAAGAAUGUGAACAUUUACUUCGAAGGAAAAGGAAAGCGCACCGUGCAUAAAACCAACACGCAAGCAACACUCGGAGAGAUCCUGGCCGACGAAAGGUUCGAGGUGAGAGGAGGCACACCGGCGUUCCUCGCGUUGGUCGCAUCCAGCGAAGCGGAGAAGCGAUUUUUAGCCAAUUAUUGACUUUGAACUGACUCCAAUCGCGUGAAGGAAACGCUACUCAACUAGCUCUCAACUCGUAUUAAAAAGAAGCUGCAGCGGUGUACGAAUUAAUCAAACUCGUGCAUGGGUAAACAAUUAAUCUGCUUGGUACCUUACGGGGGUAUAAAUGGAAUAUAUAUAAGGUAUAAUUCAGUUUCUAUAAAGCUACGGUAUAUGCUGGGCGUAAUUGACGUCAAUUUCACACUUCAAUAUAUAUGCCAGGUGCGAGGAGGGCAACUCGCGUGCGGUGUGGCAUAUUGUUAUUGGAGUAGAAAAGGACCAAGGAAUGAGAACAGCGUGUAGGUACUAUAUACAUAUACACGUGUGCAUGGGGUGUGUGGAGGGUACUGCUGGGGAUUAACUGUUCGAAACGCGUCGCGUUCCUUACCGUGUUCGGUAGUAUAGUACGUGAUAUAUAUUUUCUUCCGUGUCACGUCGCGUUGGGUUUGAACGGGAAAAUAUGAUUUGUGCUGGGAGGUAAAUAAGAAAAAAUGGUGCUCGAAUAUAUUGACGUAAGGCGUAACUCUGGUUUACUGUACUUACGGCUAUAAAUCUGAAUGUUUUCACAAAUGGAUAAGUAGCCCGGCUAUAUGCUGCAAAAUUUAUAUACGUGCGCUAAACUAAUCAUGCGACUUACGUACACCUCUUCGUACAACGUGCGGGCGGGCUGUGCCGGGUGAGAGAGAGAGAGAGAGAGAGAGAGAAAAAAAUAGUUGACGUGAAAAUUAUAACUUUAUGAUUUAAUUGCCCCACCGUAAAAUAACUUGCUGCAGUUGUAAAUAAAGUAGUAAAUACAUCAAUGGUA